GAGCUUACCUCUAUAGCCCGUGUACUAAAAUCGAAACAAUACAGAGAUUAGCAUGGCCCCUGCGCAAGGAUGUCAUGCAAAUUUGUGAAGCAUUCAUAUUUUAA